rnacentral:rRNA from 1 species
GAUGAACGCUGGCGGCGUGCUUAACACAUGCAAGUCGAACGAAGCACUUUAUUUGAUUUCCUUCGGGACUGAUUAUUUUGUGACUGAGUGGCGGACGGGUGAGUAACGCGUGGGUAACCUGCCUUGUACAGGGGGAUAACAGUUGGAAACGGCUGCUAAUACCGCAUAAGCGCACAGCAUCGCAUGAUGCAGUGUGGAAAACUCCGGUGGUAUAAGAUGGACCCGCGUUGGAUUAGCUAGUUGGUGAGGUAACGGCCCACCAAGGCGACGAUCCAUAGCCGACCUGAGAGGGUGACCGGCCACAUUGGGACUGAGACACGGCCCAAACUCCUACGGGAGGCAGCAGUGGGGAAUAUUGCACAAUGGGCGAAAGCCUGAUGCAGCGACGCCGCGUGAGCGAAGAAGUAUUUCGGUAUGUAAAGCUCUAUCAGCAGGGAAGAUAAUGACGGUACCUGACGAAGAAGCACCGGCUAAAUACGUG